AUAAAUAAAUAAAUAAAUGGAGGAAGAAAGAGACGAGAUAGAUGUAUUAUUAUAGGUGCUUGUGUGUGCAUAGAGAAUUUCUGGAAGGUCAUGUCAGGAAAGGGGUACCAAGAGAUGGGAAAGAGGGACACACUUUUGCAUUACUGAAAUAUUUUGCUACAUUUUAUUUUUUCCAAUUGAAAAAAAUGUCUUUACCAGAUUAAGCUGUAGCUCUCCUCUUCUCUUUCCGGAAUGCCUCAGCCAAACUAUGAAGGAAGAAAAGUUUGUCUUACCCCUCAGCUUUGGGGCCCACACAGAUGUCCUCAGCUUUGCCCUGCUGCCUAACUACCAACAGAUAGUGAUCCACGUCUUGGGCUUUGUUGCUGCUGCCUUUCCAGUUCUCUGAAGGCAAGGGAAAUAAAAG